CAAGCACUUAAGGGGCAGAUAACGAGACCUAUAAAAGCUCCAUAACAGCUGUGGCUCGGCAUUUCUGUUCCUACAUUGGAGCUGAACACCUGUACUAAAAAUCCGUUGCAAUAUGAGUGUCCUGCCAAAAUUGUGCUUCUUCUUGCUGCUGCUGUCUGUAGCCAGUGCGAAUGAUUCAUACCAGUGCGAAGACCCAUGCGCGAAUAAUCCAUGCAAGCUCGGAGAGAGGUGCACCUCAGUACAGGUGCAGUGUUACGUGCCCCCAUGUUGCCCCAUAUCUGAAUGCAAGGCAGCUUCUUAUGGUUAGGUAUAACUGAUAGCUUAUAUUUGUUUACUGAAUGUAUUGCUAAAUACUCAUUAAAGAGAUACAGUUUA